UACGUAGGUGGCAAGCGUUGUCCGGAAUUAUUGGGCGUAAAGCGCGCGCAGGCGGUCCUUUAAGUCUGAUGUGAAAGCCCACGGCUCAACCGUGGAAGGUCAUUGGAAACUGGGGGACUUGAGUGCAGAAGAGGAAAGUGGAAUUCCAAGUGUAGCGGUGAAAUGCGUAGAGAUCUGGAAGAACACCAAAGGCGAAGGCAGCAUCCUGGCUCGGAUCUGACGCUCAUGUGCGAAAGCUAGGGGAGCGAACGGG
rnacentral:rRNA from 1 species